AGGGCGCACGGUGGAUGCCUUGGCACUAGAAGCCGAUGAAGGACGUUACUAACGACGAUAUGCUUUGGGGAGCUGUAAGUAAGCUUUGAUCCAGAGAUUUCCGAAUGGGGAAACCCAGCAUGAGUUAUGUCAUGUUAUCGAUAUGUGAAUACAUAGCAUAUCAGAAGGCACACCCGGAGAACUGAAACAUCUUAGUACCCGGAGGAAGAGAAAGAAAAUUCGAUUCCCUUAGUAGCGGCGAGCGAAACGGGAAGAGCCCAAACCAACAAGCUUGCUUGUUGGGGUUGUAGGACACUCUAUACGGAGUUACAAAGGACGACAUUAGACGAAUCAUCUGGAAAGAUGAAUCAAAGAAGGUAAUAAUCCUGUAGUCGAAAAUGUUGUCUCUCUUGAGUGGAUCCUGAGUACGACGGAGCACGUGAAAUUCCGUCGGAAUCUGGGAGGACCAUCUCCUAAGGCUAAAUACUCUCUAGUGACCGAUAGUGAACCAGUACCGUGAGGGAAAGGUGAAAAGCACCCCGGAAGGGGAGUGAAAUAGAACCUGAAACCGUGUGCUUACAAGUAGUCAGAGCCCGUUAAUGGGUGAUGGCGUGCCUUUUGUAGAAUGAACCGGCGAGUUACGAUUUGAUGCAAGGUUAAGCAGUAAAUGUGGAGCCGUAGCGAAAGCGAGUCUGAAUAGGGCGUUUAGUAUUUGGUCGUAGACCCGAAACCAGGUGAUCUACCCUUGGUCAGGUUGAAGUUCAGGUAACACUGAAUGGAGGACCGAACCGACUUACGUUGAAAAGUGAGCGGAUGAACUGAGGGUAGCGGAGAAAUUCCAAUCGAACCUGGAGAUAGCUGGUUCUCUCCGAAAUAGCUUUAGGGCUAGCCUCAAGUGAUGAUUAUUGGAGGUAGAGCACUGUUUGGACGAGGGGCCCCUCUCGGGUUACCGAAUUCAGACAAACUCCGAAUGCCAAUUAAUUUAACUUGGGAGUCAGAACAUGGGUGAUAAGGUCCGUGUUCGAAAGGGAAACAGCCCAGACCACCAGCUAAGGUCCCAAAAUAUAUGUUAAGUGGAAAAGGAUGUGGCGUUGCCCAGACAACUAGGAUGUUGGCUUAGAAGCAGCCAUCAUUUAAAGAGUGCGUAAUAGCUCACUAGUCGAGUGACACUGCGCCGAAAAUGUACCGGGGCUAAACAUAUUACCGAAGCUGUGGAUUGUCCUUUGGACAAUGGUAGGAGAGCGUUCUAAGGGCGUUGAAGCAUGAUCGUAAGGACAUGUGGAGCGCUUAGAAGUGAGAAUGCCGGUGUGAGUAGCGAAAGACGGGUGAGAAUCCCGUCCACCGAUUGACUAAGGUUUCCAGAGGAAGGCUCGUCCGCUCUGGGUUAGUCGGGUCCUAAGCUGAGGCCGACAGGCGUAGGCGAUGGAUAACAGGUUGAUAUUCCUGUACCACCUAUAAUCGUUUUAAUCGAUGGGGGGACGCAGUAGGAUAGGCGAAGCGUGCGAUUGGAUUGCACGUCUAAGCAGUAAGGCUGAGUAUUAGGCAAAUCCGGUACUCGUUAAGGCUGAGCUGUGAUGGGGAGAAGACAUUGUGUCUUCGAGUCGUUGAUUUCACACUGCCGAGAAAAGCCUCUAGAUAGAAAAUAGGUGCCCGUACCGCAAACCGACACAGGUAGUCAAGAUGAGAAUUCUAAGGUGAGCGAGCGAACUCUCGUUAAGGAACUCGGCAAAAUGACCCCGUAACUUCGGGAGAAGGGGUGCUCUUUAGGGUUAACGCCCAGAAGAGCCGCAGUGAAUAGGCCCAAGCGACUGUUUAUCAAAAACACAGGUCUCUGCUAAACCGUAAGGUGAUGUAUAGGGGCUGACGCCUGCCCGGUGCUGGAAGGUUAAGAGGAGUGGUUAGCUUCUGCGAAGCUACGAAUCGAAGCCCCAGUAAACGGCGGCCGUAACUAUAACGGUCCUAAGGUAGCGAAAUUCCUUGUCGGGUAAGUUCCGACCCGCACGAAAGGCGUAACGAUUUGGGCACUGUCUCAACGAGAGACUCGGUGAAAUCAUAGUACCUGUGAAGAUGCAGGUUACCCGCGACAGGACGGAAAGACCCCGUGGAGCUUUACUGUAGCCUGAUAUUGAAAUUCGGCACAGCUUGUACAGGAUAGGUAGGAGCCUUUGAAACGUGAGCGCUAGCUUACGUGGAGGCGCUGGUGGGAUACUA
rnacentral:rRNA from 1 species